rnacentral:piRNA from 1 species
UAAGUCUGCCACUUAAGGCUGAAAUUGC